rnacentral:tRNA from 1 species
CGUACAUUAUUUUAGCUGAGUUGGUCAGAGCAUGGUGCUGAUAACUCCAAGGUCACAGGUUUGAUCCCCAUAUGGGCCA